rnacentral:rRNA from 1 species
UACGAAGGGGGCUAGCGUUGCUCGGAAUCACUUGGGCGGUAAAGGGUGCGUAGGCGGGUCUUUAAGUCAGGGGUGAAAUCCUGGAGCUCAACUCCAGAACUGCCUUUGAUACUGAAGAUCUUGAGUUCGGGAGAGGUGAGUGGAAUGCGAGUGUAGAGGUGAAAUUCGAUAGAUAUUCGCAAGAACACCAGUGGCGAAGGCGGCUCACUG